UUACGGUCAAAUCACGCUGAAAACACCGGUUCUCGUUCGAUCACCGAAUCACCGAAGUUAAGCAUCGUAGAGCCAGGUCAGUUUAGAUGGGGGACCGCUUGGGAACACCUGGUACUGUAAG